rnacentral:rRNA from 1 species
CCUACGGGAGGCAGCAGUAAGGAAUAUUGGUCAAUGGACGCAAGUCUGAACCAGCCAUGCCGCGUGAAGGAUUAAGGCCCUCUGGGUUGUAAACUUCUUUUAUAGGGGACGAAAAAAGGGCAUUCUUGCUCACUUGACGGUACCCUAGGAAUAAGCACCGGCUAACUCCGUGCCAGCAGCCGCGGUAAUACGGAGGGUGCAAGCGUUAUCCGGAUUUACUGGGUUUAAAGGGUGCGUAGGUGGGUUGGUAAGUCAGUGGUGAAAUCUUCGAGCUUAACUCGGAAACUGCCAUUGAUACUAUCAAUCUUGAAUCAUCUAGAGGUAAGCGGAAUAUGUCAUGUAGCGGUGAAAUGCUUAGAUAUGACAUAGAACACCAAUUGCGAAGGCAGCUUACUAUGGAUGCAUUGACACUGAGGCACGAAAGCGUGGGGAUCAAACAGGAUUAGAUACCCUGGUAGUCCACGCCCUAAACGAUGGAUACUCGACAUUUGUGAUAUACAAUAAGUGUNUGAGNGAAGANAUAAGUAUCCACCNGGAGUACGACCGACGAGUAGAACGACAANAGAGUAGAGNGUGAGAGAGCGACGGACGACACGAGGGAGGAGG